rnacentral:rRNA from 1 species
UGGGGAAUAUUGGACAAUGGGCGCAAGCCUGAUCCAGCCAUGCCGCGUGAGUGAUGAAGGCCCUAGGGUUGUAAAGCUCUUUCACCGGUGAAGAUAAUGACGGUAACCGGAGAAGAAGCCCCGGCUAACUUCGUGCCAGCAGCCGCGGUAAUACGAAGGGGGCUAGCGUUGUUCGGAUUUAAUGGGCGUAAAGCGCACGUAGGCGGACUUUUAAGUCAGGGGUGAAAUCCCGGGGCUCAACCCCGGAACUGCCUUUGAUACUGGAAGACUUGAGUAUGGUAGAGGUGAGUGGAAUUCCGAGUGUAGAGGUGAAAUUCGUAGAUAUUCGGAAGAACACCAGUGGCGAAGGCGGCUCACUGGACCAUUACUGACGCUGAGGUGCGAAAGCGUGGGGAGCAAACAGG